UAGCUCUGGUUUCUCUGCAUCACUUAUAAAUCUUUCGCCUUUUACUAAAGAUAUUCUUGCAUAGGAACUUUACUGAGUUUUAUUCUAUAUUUCAUGAAUUACCAUGAGGCAAAA